rnacentral:rRNA from 1 species
CCUACGGGAGGCUGCAGUGGGGAAUAUUGCACAAUGGGCGCAAGCCUGAUGCAGCCAUGCCGCGUGUGUGAAGAAGGCCUUCGGGUUGUAAAGCACUUUCAGCGGGGAGGAAGGCGGUGAGGUUAAUAACCUCAUCGAUUGACGUUACCCGCAGAAGAAGCACCGGCUAACUCCGUGCCAGCAGCCGCGGUAAUACGGAGGGUGCAAGCGUUAAUCGGAAUUACUGGGCGUAAAGCGCACGCAGGCGGUCUGUCAAGUCGGAUGUGAAAUCCCCGGGCUCAACCUGGGAACUGCAUUCGAAACUGGCAGGCUAGAGUCUUGUAGAGGGGGGUAGAAUUCCAGGUGUAGCGGUGAAAUGCGUAGAGAUCUGGAGGAAUACCGGUGGCGAGGGCGGCCCCCUGAACAAAGACUGACGCUCAGGUGCGAAAGCGUGGGGAGCAAACAGGAUUAAUACCCUAGUAGUC